CUGACUGCUAUCGGAUUGGUACUAAGCCAUGCGAGUCAUAGAAGCAAUACAAGGCGGACGGCUCAGUAACACGUAGUCAACCUAACUCGUGGACGUGGAUAACCUCGGGAAACUGAGAAUAAACCACGAUAGGUCAUAGUGCCUGGAAUGGCUUAUGGUCCAAACAGUUUACUGCCAUGGGAUGGGACUGCGGCCUAUCAGCUUGUUGGUGAGGUAAUGGCCCACCAAGGCGAUUACAGGUACGGGCUCUGAGAGGAGAAGCCCGGAGAUGGGUACUGAGACACGGACCCAGGCCCUAUGGGGCGCAGCAGGCGAGAAACCUUAGUAAUGUGCGAAAGCACGACUGGGUCAGUCCUAGUUUUUCCUGAUAAAGGAGUCUUUUGCCUGUCCUAAAAGCACAGGUGAAUAAGGGGUGGGCAAGUCUGGUGUCAGCCGCCGCGGUAAUACCAGCACCUCGAGUGGUCAGGACGUUUAUUGGGCCUAAAGCAUCCGUAGCCGGCUCUGCAAGUCUUCGGUUAAAUCCACCUGCUCAACAGAUGGGCCGCUGGAGAUACUACAGAGCUAGGGAGUGGGAGAGGCAGACGGUAUUCAGUGGGUAGGGGUAAAAUCCUCUGAUCCAUUGAGGACCACCAGUGGCGAAGGCGGUCUGCCAGAACACGUUCGACGGUGAGGGAUGAAAGCUGGGGGAGCAAACCGGAUUAGAUACCCGGGUAGUCCCAGCUGUAAACGAUGCAAACUCGGUGAUGCAUUGGCUUAUGGGCCAAUGCAGUGCCGCAGGGAAGCCGUUAAGUUUGCCGCCUGGGAAGUACGGACGCAAGUCCGAAACUUAA
rnacentral:rRNA from 1 species